UUUUUUUUUUAGGGGGGAUGUACUUAGAGCAUUUGGCACCCGGGGCGGAUCCUGUGCUUGGCACCCCCCGUGCCAAGCACAGGAUCCGCCCCGGGUGCCAAAUGCUCUAAGUACACCCCUGUUGUGGAG